UACGAAGGGGGCUAGCGUUGUUCGGAUUUACUGGGCGUAAAGCGCACGUAGGCGGCCUCUUCAGUCUGGUGUGAAAGCCCGGGGCUCAACCCCGGAAGUGCAUUGGAUACUGGGAGGCUGGAGUACCGGAGAGGAGGGUGGAAUUCCUGGUGUAGCGGUGAAAUGCGUAGAUAUCAGGAGGAACACCCGUGGCGAAAGCGGCUCUCUGGAACGGUACUGACGCUGAGACGCGAAAGCGUGGGGAGCGAACAGG
rnacentral:rRNA from 1 species